rnacentral:rRNA from 1 species
CCUACGGGAUGCAGCAGUGGGGAAUAUUGCACAAUGGGCGCAAGCCUGAUGCAGCAACGCCGCGUGAGGGAUGACGGCCUUCGGGUUGUAAACCUCUUUUAGUAGGGAAGAAGCGGAAGUGACGGUACCUGCAGAAAAAGCACCGGCUAACUACGUGCCAGCAGCCGCGGUAAUACGUAGGGUGCAAGCGUUGUCCGGAAUUAUUGGGCGUAAAGAGCUCGUAGGCGGCUUGUCGCGUCUGCUGUGAAAACCCGAGGCUCAACCUCGGGCCUGCAGUGGGUACGGGCAGGCUAGAGUGCGGUAGGGGAGAUUGGAAUUCCUGGUGUAGCGGUGGAAUGCGCAGAUAUCAGGAGGAACACCGAUGGCGAAGGCAGAUCUCUGGGCCGCUACUGACGCUGAGGAGCGAAAGCAUGGGGAGCGAACAGGAUUAGAUACCCUAGUAGUC